AGCCAACGAGAUAGAGUUUCGGCAGUUGCUAAAUGCUUAAAUAAGUGUUUGUAAAUUAGCAGCACUCUUUUAGAUUAUAGCGACACUCUUUAACUGUCACUAUAUACCUAGCGACCCCACAUAUAGCAACACUUUUUAAAAGUGUCGGUAAUUUUAGCUAGCAACACUUUUUUGACAUUAACUGUCACUAUAUACCUAGCGACCCCACAUUUAAAAGUGUCGCUAUAGACCGUUUUUGUUGUAGUGAUAUAUAUAUAUAUAUAUAUAUAUAUAUAUAGAGUCCGGCUACUAUACUCUAAUGAGUACGAUCGCCUUCGUAUUCAUAAGUCGUUUUCAAUGAUAGAGCUUCCGAAUCGACGAUCCAUACCGUUAAACAUUUUUUAGAGCAUUUAAAACUUCUAGAAAUCAAAUUUCAUAAUUUUUCAACAUCAUUUACUUUACGAUCAAAAACUCACAAAAUUGACAAUUUUUAACGGCCGGUAUGAAAUACUGGCUAGUUUAACGGUGCAAAAGAAUCCGAAUAGGUUGAAUUUUUGAUAGAAAAUUCUAUUUACUACCUAGAUAAAGAUCAAUAACUUCAAUCUUAAAUUGAAGGAUCUGAUCAUCCAUUUUUAAGACGUCGUUCGAUUUUGACCGUUCAUUUUAUGCCCGCUUGAUGGACAUUAUUAUGAUUUCGAAAAAUUACGAAAUUUAUUUUCUAGAAGUUUUAAAUACUCUAGAUCAUAUUUAACGGAGUGGAUCGUCGAUUCGGAAGCUCAAUCAUCGAGAACAACUUAUGAGUACGAAGGGCUCUAUACUCAUAAGAGUAUAAUACCAGUUUAAUCUGUCAUGCUCCGAAGUCCCAUUGUGUUUAAAAACAAAGCGGAAGUGCUCAAAUUUUUUUUUUGAAAACCUGACCCUCAGGGUAUGCCAGAUCCGCCACAAAUAUAGGGAGUCCACUAUUCACACGGACAGAGUCUCCCUUGUAUUUGCACGGCGUCGCAUAAGUACAAGAUACAAUAUUUGCCAAACAGGAUACAACCACACAUAUACACAUACACAUAAUCAAACAUCAUUCGCAAUCACAUCUACAAACAGAGUUAUUCAUAAAUUCACAACUAUUAGUUUAAAAUGUUUCCUACCCGGAAACUUGUUUUGAAAUACUAAAUCAUGAAAAUCACGAGAAAACCUUUUAAAACCGUUUUCCACACGGAAACUCUUUUCUUUUAAAAACUCGCUACCAUAAGAGGUAGAAAACCAUUUCCAUUUCACAGAAAUCCCAAUUCUAUUAUUACAUUUAUAAAACUAGAUGAAUUCAAGGUAAU
rnacentral:lncRNA from 1 species